CGCGUAGGCGGCUUUUCAAGUCAGAUGUGAAAGUCCGCGGCUCAACCGUGGAAGUGCAUUUGAAACUGUGAGGCUUGAGUACUGGAGGGGGUAGUGGAAUUCCCGGUGUAGAGGUGAAAUUCGUAGAUAUCGGGAGGAAUACCGGUGGCGAAGGCGACUGCCUGGCCAGAUACUGACGCUGAGGUGCGAAAGCGUGGGGAGCAAACA
rnacentral:rRNA from 1 species